rnacentral:rRNA from 1 species
AGGACGAACGCUGGCGGCGUGCUUAACACAUGCAAGUCGAACGAGGCCCUACCUUCGGGUAGGUGACCUAGUGGCGAACGGGUGAGUAACACGUGGGCAACCUACCCUCAGCUCUGGGAUAACCCCGGGAAACCGGAGCUAAAUACCGGAUAUGACCUUGAACGACAUCGUUCUUGGUGGAAAGUUUUUCGGCUGAGGAUGGGCCCGCGGCCUAUCAGCUUGUUGGUGGGGUAAUGGCCCACAAGGCGACGACGGGUAG